CGAUGGUGUUGUUCCUCUCUGCACUAGUGCCGGUAGUCGUUCUCUUCGCUUCUGCCAAGUGCCACCGACCCCUCUUGUGACCUAGGCUCCAUCUCCUCUUCAGAGUAAGGGGUUUAAGUAAGGUAACGGCAAGGGUUGUGUGAUGUGGAUCAACUAGCAAGGUUGGGAAGAAGGAAGUUGGAUGUUUGUUUGGGGUUUUGAUUUGAGACAAGAG